CUACACCAUGGCAGAGAAAUGCGAUGGUCAACUCAAAGGAAUGGUUCAAGACCUGAAGGAAGUCAUUGACUACCUAAAUUCUACGAACGCCAAUCACCAGCAAGAAGACAAUCCGGUAUGUUCACUACAGUAUAGUAGGGGGUGGUGUGGUGUGGGAGGUAAUCCAGAGUUGCAAAAAAUGUUCAACCUUCUUCAGGGUAAAUUUAAAGUUUUCAAACCAUCUUCAAAGCAAUUUGAAUAGACCCAUUGCACAUGACGUCACAGCGCCGGUGACGAUGCAUCUGGAGGACAAAUUAGCAAUCUGUGCAUAAUAUAACUUUUGUAAAGAAAGCUAAUUUUGUAAAACUUUAUAAGAAUUUUGUAUUGAAAUGGUUAAUUUUUGCGCUGUAUGUGGUUGUUGUACUCGAACAGAUAUUGUUAGGGAGCAUCUGGAGGACACUCUAAGGAUUUGUGACGUCAGUGCAAUGAGUGUAUUAUCUUUUUUCAAAUUUGCAAAAUAUAUCAAGUAUGUCAUUCAAAUUCUUAUUCCUUUAACUGUGAUUUUUGUUACGCUAUAACCACUUGUGCUGUUCUACUUUCACACCAAAGGUGAUUCAAAUAGCGAAAAUACUGAACGUCCACAUGGACUCCUUGCAAUGGAUUGAUCAAAACUCAGGUACGAUGAGAUUUUCAUCAACUGUGACUGAUA
rnacentral:lncRNA from 1 species